CUUUGACCUGAGAGUACAAUGUCUCCUGCUGGCCAUUGUCCUGCACUGAGACUGAGGAAGCUUCAGGCCGCCUCUGGAGGAAGGCUAAGUCCUCAUAAUGAAGUUCUUCCUCUGUUUCAUUGGCUUGAACAGCAACCUCCUGGAGAUACACAAAGACUGAGAGUGAAGAUGGAUCUGAAACAGACAUGAGAGGACGACCAUUAAUAACAUCAGACCAGGUUUAGCUCUGCACUAAAUAUAAAGAACUAGUUUAGAAAUUCAUCUGAAGGUUUAAAUAAAACCUCAUUAUUAUUCCUUAAAUUAAGUUUAUUGUUUUAAAUUCUGAUACUCACCAAACAGAAAGAACCAGGCAGAUUAACAAAAUGACUCCAACUACAAUUGCGACCAAGAAAAUAAAUCCUUUUGCCAAAUCACAGAAAAACACAGUUUAACAAAUGUCAAAAACAUGAGCGU